rnacentral:lncRNA from 1 species
ACCCAUUGCUCUCUCUGGGUCUCAUCCAAAGCACACGGAAAUCAAAAUGUCCUUUCCUGCUGACUUCAACAGCCUUUGGAACAUACCUAGCAUGUCCCCUUACUAAAAGUCAUUGCACUUUAAGGGUUAUAGGGCUGCUGUCAGGCUGCUCUUAAUGCAUAGAAAAUCCUGCUAUUUCACAGGCCCUGAUGUUAAUUACAUCAGCUGUAAUUGUUCAGAGCCAGAGCCUCCUCACCGCAUCUUUACUGUGUCAAUAAACACAGGUUUCAGCAGUGGCUUAGAGGAGAAGGGGGUGACCAGGGAGGGUCUGCAUGGCCCUGGGUAGAUGCAGAAGACAAGGAGCAAGGCCAGAAGUUUUCAGCGAUGCUGGCUGGUGGCAGUGGUCCGACAUUUAUUUUUAUCUGGGUCCUCGGUGGAGAUUCCCACAAUUGCAAAGCCAAGUCCAACAGCUGUUGUGGCUAACACUGCUAAAAGUCCUGUGGUUAAGGGGCUGGACUGGGAGUGACUGGACUUGUUCAAGUUCCAGCUAUGCUACAGGUUUCCUGGGUAACCUCGAGCAAGACAUCUAACCUGUCUUUGUGACUAUAAGAAUAUUUCAAGUCUUCAAAAAGCCAAGGAGAUAUAGUCCUGAGUUAGCUUGAGAUUUAGGAAGACAACUGUGUUUUUACUAGAAUGUCACUUUGAGUUUAUUUCUGUAAUGUGUCACUCACAACCGACUUUCAGGAUCAUGGUGUUUUUUUGUUCUUACAGAUUAAGCCCUUUGGCCACUGUUUCCUUUUGAAAAUCAUACAUAUUUCGAGCUUUAAAUGUGCUGUUAAGUUUGUAACCCAGUCAUGAAGAGAAAAGGAGAAUGCAAAUUUAGGAAAGAAAUUCCACAUAUGAAUGAGGAGAUGUGCUUGUUUCCAACUGUCCUUAUCCAUCUGCCAUUAACUCUCUCUAAUAAUGUUUGAUUACUGCAGAUAUUAAGGACUGUUCCAUUGUGCUGCAUGCUGUACAAAACAGAGUAAAGCAAAGCCUCUACUGCAAAACUUUUCAGAAGGAAAACCAAGCACAGGAUUGGAUCUUCUCAUUCAGAACCUAGUUACAACCAAAAUACAAUAUUACUUGUUUGCACCAGAUGAGGAGCUGGUCCAAAGUUCUAUAGAGAACCACUGGAAGCCAAAAUAGCCACCAAACUCCCCC